UACGGGGGGGGCAAGCGUUGUUCGGAAUUACUGGGCGUAAAGGGCUCGUAGGUGGCCAACUAAGUCAGACGUGAAAUCCCUCGGCUUAACCGGGGAACUGCGUCUGAUACUGGAUGGCUUGAGUUCGGGAGAGGGAUGCGGAAUUCCAGGUGUAGCGGUGAAAUGCUUAGAUAUCGUCAAGAACACCAAUAGUGAAGACAGCUUACUGGGCUUAAACUGACGCUGAGGCACGAAAGUGUGGGGAUCAAACAGG
rnacentral:rRNA from 1 species